rfam:chromosome X of strain GB-M1 of Encephalitozoon cuniculi (Microspora)
GCUUUUGUAGUGUAGUGGUUAUCACGUAUCCUUCACACGGAUGAGGUCCUCGGUUCGAACCCGAGCAAAAGCA